rnacentral:tRNA from 1 species
UCUAGGAUAAACUAAAUUAAGUUACUGGGCUCAUAACCUGGCUAUGAGGAAGUCUCUCCUAGAU